UUCAAAGCUUUGAAAAACAUGUUGACUCUACUGUUAGGGACUAAUGCAGCUGGUAACUUUAAGUUGAAGCCAAUGCUCAUUUACCGUUCUGAAAAUCCUAAGACCCUUAAAAACUAUACAACAAGCCAGGUGUAAUGGUGCACCUCUACAGUCUAUCCUCAGUGGAAAAACAACGCCUGGAUAGCAGCUAACCCAUUUACAGCAUGUUUUACUGAAGAAAAAAAAAAAAUUUUUUUUUUUUUUUUUUGAGGAGUCUUGCUCUGUUGCCCAGGCUGGAGUGCAGUGGCACGA